rnacentral:rRNA from 1 species
GAUGAACGCUGGCGGCGUGCCUAAUACAUGCAAGUCGAGCGAACGGACGAGAAGCUUGCUUCUCUGAUGUUAGCGGCGGACGGGUGAGUAACACGUGGAUAACCUACCUAUAAGACUGGGAUAACUUCGGGAAACCGGAGCUAAUACCGGAUGAUAUUUUGAACCGCAUGGUUCAAAAGUGAAAGACGGUCUUGCUGUCACUUAUAGAUGGAUCCGCGCUGCAUUAGCUAGUUGGUAAGGUAACGGCUUACCAAGGCAACGAUGCAUAGCCGACCUGAGAGGGUGAUCGGCCACACUGGAACUGAGACACGGUCCAGACUCCUACGGGAGGCAGCAGUAGAGAAUCUUCCGCAAUGGGCGAAAGCCUGACGGAGCAACGCCGCGUGAGUGAUGAAGGUCUUCGGAUCGUAAAACUCUGUUAUUAGGGAAGAACAUAUGUGUAAGUAACUGUGCACAUCUUGACGGUACCUAAUCAGAAAGCCACGGCUAACUACGUG